rnacentral:tRNA from 1 species
GGCCUUAUAUUCAAGUAUGAUUUCAGAAUGCAAUUCUGAAGGAGCAGGGCGCCUGCUAAGGCUU